UACAGAGGGUGCAAGCGUUAAUCGGAAUUACUGGGCGUAAAGCGCGCGUAGGUGGUUUGUUAAGUUGAAUGUGAAAUCCCCGGGCUCAACCUGGGAACUGCAUGCAAAACUGGCAAGCUAGAGUAUGGUAGAGGGUGGUGGAAUUUCCUGUGUAGCGGUGAAAUGCGUAGAUAUAGGAAGGAACACCAGUGGCGAAGGCGACCACCUGGACUGAUACUGACACUAAGGUGCGAAAGCGUGGGGAGCAAACAGG
rnacentral:rRNA from 1 species